UAAUCAGCAUUAGGGUUUCAAACCCUAAACUAAACUUUUCCCAUUCAGCCAGCAUUAGGGUUUUAAACCCUAAACUGAGCUUUUCCAUGCAGUCAGCAUUAGGGUUUUAAACCUAAACUGAACUUUUCCAUGCAAGCAACAUUAGGGUUUUAAACCCUAAACUGACCUUUUUCCUUUAAUCAGUAUUAGGGUUUUAAACCCUAAACUGAACUUUUUUCCAUUCAGCCAGCAUUAGGGUUUUUAACCUUAAACUGAACUUUUUUCUCUUAAUCGGCAUUAUGGUUUUAAACCCUAAACUGAACUUUCCCCCAGUUGGUCAGUAUUAGAGUUUCAACUCUAAAACCAAACUUCUCCCCAGCUAGUCGGUAUUAGGGCCCCAACCCUGAACUGAGCAUGCAUAUCGUCUUUCAUCAAUUUUAUGAACUUCCUGGCUAAUAAUUCACGAAAUUUUCCUAGUGAAACUGGGGCAGAAAAUUUCGUUCGCAGGUCUAACCUCGAGCCACACGGAUCGAAACGACCCACGAAGUGAGUCUCAACUCAAAAUCAAAAAAAAAAAGAAAAGAAAAAGACAAAAAGAAGAUGUCCCGAGAUAUCGGAGUUAAAUGGAAUGCGGAUCGACGCCAACAUUGGAUUAAGAUUCAAAACUCUGCCAGUCACGCCUCACUCAGCAUCCCAGAGAAUAAGCAAGCACCUACAACUCACCAGCAUCAAGAUUCGGAUCGAAGUCUCCAAGCAAAAUCAGCUAAGAUCCAUGAUCAAGUCGCAAAAGAAUCAUAGAUAGGGAUCUUGUAACUAGCAGUUGACAUGCAUAUAAGUAUUUAAGUUCAGUUUCAAUUUUUCUUUGGUUGUAAUAAGGCGGUCAGUAAAGCAGUGGUGAUUACAGCAAC
rnacentral:lncRNA from 1 species